ensembl:lncRNA
GGGAGAGCGGCCAAGUUAACACUGGGACCAGGAACCUCAGAGAAACCAGAAUGAGAGCGAGCAUCUCCCUCUAGGGCUGUGAGGUGGUCAGAACCUGGCAUCACGCAGGAUGGCUUCAAAAAGUGCCCCUGCUGAGACGGCUUGGAACUGACCACAGGCUCUUGGUCUGGCAGGGCAGGGAUGAGCGUGGUGUCUCAUGGACCCCAGAUAGCAGCAGCCCCUCAUGGCAGGUGUGGGUUAAAUAUCCCAGAGUCGAAGCUGGAGCCUUUGCAGUGGGAGGCGGCUGCCCACGGCUCUAAGCACCCAGAGGAGUCUCGUCCACAGAGAAGGGAGCCCGCGCUCACUCACCAUGCAGCCUGAGCGCACACCACCGGCAGCGCACUCGCUCCCACAACAGGAGGGACUCGCGACGGAGGAAGGCACCCCGGCACAGGGAACAGCACGGGGAACAGCGCCGUCUCGAGGGUUUGGAAGGCAGCUUCUCCUUAUUUUGGCCACAGUGCAGAUUCUGCUGGUUCAUCACGUAACAUUUCAGCAAGAGGCUCAGCUGCUACAGAAAAGCAACUUCCCAAAUUGGCAGCUGUUUACCAAAAUUGGGUUGCUGACCCCAGUACAUAGCUCUGCUCCUGCCACCCGACUACGCUUCCUCUGCUUGGACUUGACCUCCCGGGAGCAAGGCUGGCACAACAGUGAGGGCACCACCAGUGUGGAGUCCCUGGAGCCAUGCCCUCAGAUUGGAAAAAGCCUCAGGGAACGGCUGGCGACAGUGGACGGAGUCUCUCCUGGCUUCUUGGUCCUGCACCUCUGCGUCUCCCAGUUCCCCUGCAGUGAAAAGGCCUUGAGAGCUGUUGUGGGCAGUCCCUCCUGCUGGUUGUCAGGCACGAGGAGCAGCCCGAGUUCUUGCAGGAGGCAGGAACAGCCUUUGAAGUGGGAGAGCUGACGACAGCGUUUCAGGUCCCCCAGUUUUCUACCAUUAAAGCCACUGGCAAAUCAGCCCAUGGUUGUGGAUUGAAGUUUUAUUGCAAAAUAAUUGACACCUGUCACUGUGUAAGUUGAAGGCACCAAGCAUGAUGAUUUUAUUUACGUACAUCGUGAAAUGAUUCCCACAGUAGAUUCAACCAACAUCCAUCAUCUCAUGCAGACACAAUAAGAAGAGAAGAAAGAAAAAAGAAGAAAGGAAAAUAUUUUUCUCCUUUGAUGAGGACUCUUAGGAUCCACUCGUCGAGCUUUCCCGUGUGUCGCACAGCAGCGCUGACCUGGGUCGUCGUGUGGCACAUUCCGACCCGGGACGUAGUGUCUGUAACAGGAAGUCUGUACCUUUGCCCACCUGCCUCCACGUCCCUCCCCACCCUCUGCUCUGGUGACCACAAGUCGGAUCUCUUUCUCUAUGAGUUUCGUUGGUUUUUUUAGAUCCCAUCUGUGAGUGAGGUCAUACGGUAUUUGUCUUUCUCUCUGUAUUUCUUUCUAAAUCAAAUCCUAUCUCCUUUUAUCUUUCAGAGAUUUCUCUAAUAUUUGCUGAUCACAUUCUUUUUCAUUUGUCAUUACAUCAUAAAUUUAUUCUUGUUUUAUUGAACCUUUCCUAUCAUUUCAAGGAUGUGGUAGUAGGAGGAGUCAAGAAUAGGCGAGCUAAGUCGGCCCUUUUAAGAUCAGAUCCAAACCACUCUGGACUUCAGGCCAAUGAGGAGUUCCCAGAUUAUUCCUUCUGAUUGGCCCAGAAUUUGUGUUGAGACUUUUAGGUUCUGAACAAGUUAAAAGUCGAUUCCUAUGAAGAAGGCUAUCAUUGCUAUCAUUGUCUUUUUUUCUUUUAACAAAUUUCAGGAUUUUAUUUAAGUUUAUUUCGAAAAUAAAUCUAUUACCCUUAUCCUCUACUCUCUGAAAAGUUUCAUAGAAUAUUAAUUAUAUGUGUCAAUCAACUUAGAAUACUUAGUUUUAUUCUCUAUAUAUUUUUCCUCACAACUCUAUAGUAGAAAAGAAAUAAAGCUUAAUAUCUUAUAUCCUUCUUGUUACUCUCUGUUACAUUUUAAGAAUCUGAUUAAUAAAAUUUCAAUACAUUCAAUUCUUUUGAUGUCUAGACCACUAGGUCUGGGAGUUGCCUGGCCCGGCCGUCGGCGCCUCCCCUCCUGAGCAUGAGCAGCUCUGACAGACGGACCAGACCUCGUCUCCUGUCCUCACUCUUCUCACAAAGACUUUUCAAGGUCAUGGUUUUGCGUGUCCCAGGACCAUGCAGGGUCAGAGUCCAGGAAGUGGUUCAAAAAGGAUGGAGGCGUUAAGAUAAAAUAUCUGUGGUUUGAAGGCCUGCUCGAGUCUAAUCUUUAGGAACAUGUAACCUCUUCACAUUUUAAAGUAACUGGGCUUUUCAUGUAUUACCCUUCAUAUGCAGUCAUGUGCCGCAUAACAUUUUGGUCAACGACAGACUGUAUUCAACGGUGGUCCCAUAAGAUUAGCACCAUAGAGCCCAGAUGUGUGGGAGUUUAUACCAUCUAGGCUCAUGUAUGUACACGCUACAAUGUACACACAAGGACAAAAUCACCUGACGAUGGGUUUCCCAGAACGUGUCCCCAUCAAGUGGCGCAUGACUGUAUUUACAUUUGUUACAUUCUUGAGAUCAUAAUUUUGUACCAUUUUGAAAAUUGUCAUUUUCAUUCUUUUACUGAACAUAUUCCAUGUUUUUAUAAAGUCCUGUAUCUGUGGGCAAUAACUAAAUAAAGG